UACGUAGGGCGCAAGCGUUAUCCGGAAUUAUUGGGCGUAAAGAGCUCGUAGGCGGUUUGUCGCGUCUGCUGUGAAAGCCCGGGGCUUAACCCCGGGUCUGCAGUGGGUACGGGCAGACUGGAGUGCAGUAGGGGAGACUGGAAUUCCUGGUGUAGCGGUGAAAUGCGCAGAUAUCAGGAGGAACACCGAUGGCGAAGGCAGGUCUCUGGGCUGUUACUGACGCUGAGGAGCGAAAGCAUGGGGAGCGAACAGG
rnacentral:rRNA from 1 species